UGGAAGACGUUAUUCUUAGCCAAACAAAUCGCACUCUGCGAAUCACAGAAGAUUUCAACACCUUUUUGAGGAAAUCCCAAUUCACUUCCCUGAGCGCCAGCUGAUUGUGUUUUCUCCUGCUUGAAACACAAAACCUGUGAUAGAUCGACUCCUAUCAAGGAGAUCCCAUAAAGCGACUGACCAUACCAACUGCAUAAGCAAGAUCAGGGCGAGAUCCCACCAUUGCGUACAUUAGACUCCCAA